AUUCAUCCUUACGCAGAAGUACAUUUGCGGGGAGAGGGGCAAAUCUAGAGAACUAGUCAUUUUCCUGAAUCUGCAAUAAAAAGGCAGAAACAGAAUCACAAAAUCUUAGACUGCACUUUGAAUAGAGAAGAGACAUUAAAAUAAUAAAAUGUGGAAAUAUUUGCCUUUGCUUAAGAAGUUUCAGUGUAGAGAAGAUGAAGAUGGCUUUUCAGAAUAUCCCAUGAAUUCAGAUUGUACUCUCGUCAUAAAAUUAACUGGAAGAGGAGGAUUCUGGGAAUACGGAGGAGUAGGAAGCCCAGGAAUCUGUCUCCCACUGAGGCAACAAUUGCACUGGCAGAAUCUGUCUUCUACAACUAUUUUGGAAGUCUGGAAUCUACUGAUGUCUCGCAACUUCCGGAGGAAAGUCCCAGGGCAAAUGCUGGCAAAUUUUGGUCAAUUUCAGCUGUUAGAGCACAGCUCUUCCCCCUCCCCCAGCCAUAUGGAAGGCAGCUGUGCACAUGUUCUUGGAGGAGCUCGCAUGCAGUUUGUUGGAGGCAGCGUGGGAAAAACAAAAAAUCAAAAACGAAAAAAAGCCCUGUUCUCCAAAUAUUGGGAAUCUGUGCUCUGAUUGCUGUUUUACAUUUUGCCUAUCGUAUGUAUAAAAAUAAAGAGAGGAUGUGAAAAAAGCUGACGGCACUAUUGCUUUUUCCCCAUUCCUCUAUGCAUUUCAAGCAACGCAUUGUCUAAAUUUUCAGAUUAUUUUAAUCGAUGGCAGACUUGUCAGGAAAAGUAUGAAGAAUGCCUAAUUUCUGAGCCUUUGCUCUUUUGAGGAAAACACGUUUGUCUGCUGCUGACACACAUAAAUAAAAAUGUGAGUAGCAUUUGGGCAUCACACGCUGUUUUUUGUUUUUUGGGGUUUUUUCCUCUGCAC
rnacentral:lncRNA from 1 species